AUGGAGAAAGACAGGAGAACUGAGGAACUUGGGACAGUCACUGGAAGUAUCUUGAGAGCAGUCAAUAUUAUGGUUGAAGAGGUGCUGGAUAUCGUGAAGCACUCGGGAACAUAUUACUGUCAAGCAAAGCACCAGAAUCAACACAUCGGGAAUGGAAGUGGCUGUCUGCUCACUGUGUUCGAUCCCCCAACUCCCUUGACAAUUGUUCCUGCUGAAGGACUUGGCUCUCCACGGAAACUUGUGUGCAAAACUGGCGCCUUUUAUCCGGAGAAAUUAGAAAUAUUCUGGCUAAGAAAUAACGAGGAAAUUCGCACUGGAAUCGAAACUGUGAAAAAACCGAGCGAAGAAGGAUUGUUUGUGGCUUCUAGUUUUUUGGAAAUAACGCAGCCUGGGGAGGGCAAAGAUAUUUACACCUGUCUGGUAUCACAUAUCUCCCUGAAGGUGGCGGCCAGUUUCAGUUAUACCCUGGGCCAAGCUACCGAAGUCUAUUCGACCGGAGUGUCCCAAUUCCCUGUCAACUUGGACGUUGGCGGCGGUGAACAUGCUAUCAUGUAUUGCAAAUUUCCAAUAUCGAAAGACACUAUUGGCGUUAAUUGGUGGAGGGACGGCAUGAAGACAUUCCUUGAACCGGACAGUAGAAAACAAUUUACGAUAGAUUCUGGAAGCGGAACAUUUACUCUCCAACAUGUGCGUGUCGCUGACUCCGGCAUGUAUUACUGUCAAGUAAAGUUGCAGCAUCAGUUUAUCGGGAAUGGGAGUGGCUGCCUGAUCACCGUAUUUGAUCCCCCAACUCCCUUGACAAUUGUUCCUGCUGAAGGACUUGGCUCUCCACGGAAACUUGUGUGCAAAACUGGCGCCUUUUAUCCGGAGAAAUUAGAAAUAUUCUGGCUAAGAAAUAACGAGGAAAUUCGCACUGGAAUCGAAACUGUGAAAAAACCGAGCGAAGAAGGAUUGUUUGUGGCUUCUAGUUUUUUGGAAAUAACGCAGCCUGGGGAGGGCAAAGAUAUUUACACCUGUCUGGUAUCACAUAUCUCCCUGAAGGUGGCGGCCAGUUUCAGUUAUACCCUGGGCCAAGUGUUUGUAAUGAGCAAAAACGUCCUGGGAUAUGCAGUAUCUGGUGAAAUAUAUGAAGAUAAAGCCUAA